GCUGCCAGUUGCAACGGGUGAAGCCGGGCACUCUGGCGGGACUGCCAUCGACAAGAUGGAGGAAGGUGGGGAUGACGUCAAGUCAUCAUGGCCCUUAUGUCCAGGGCGACACACGUGCUACAAUGGCCGGCACAGCGGGAAGCGAGGCAGUGAUGCCGAGCGGAUCCCUUAAAGCCGGUCUCAGUUCGGAUUGAAGUCUGCAACUCGACUUCAUGAAGCUGGAAUCGCUAGUAAUCGCAGAUCAGCCAAGCUGCGGUGAAUACGUUCCCGGGCCUU
rnacentral:rRNA from 1 species